CCGUGCGUCGUCAUCGUCCUGGUGGGAGUUGCAGGAUCGCUCACUCGGAAACAAAGGAGAGUUCACACGGGUUUGGUUUUGUUCAUUCACAGCGAUGUUCCCAUUGUUCUAUCUACCUCCACGGACGUUCCAAAACCUGCCAUCUUUCGGCUAAACAAUCUUCUGCUCUCAAACCCCUCCUUUAUUCAUCAAAUCGUUCAAACUGGACUAGUGUGGGGCAGCGACACAUGGCGUUGGGGUCUGCUGGCCGCAUCUGCCUAAAACUUGGGUUGUUAACUCUAAAUCUCCUCGACGGCUUGCCUCCAACUGCUCUAUUGUUAUUUUUGUCCUUGACAAAAUUGAAGAAGGCCGCACUCUGUCCACCCUUGAGCUUAACCGACGCAUUGCGGUGAAGGUUGCCUGGCAUCGUCAUAACAAGCUGCUGGCUGCUCACUGGCACCAACGAGCAAAAAACAGAGAAUGCACUCUCAGGGACGAAAAUUCAAGUUACAUGCAUGUGUGCGCUUCUGUUCGUUUUCGCAAAAAUCAAAUCCCUUGUCUGAAUGUUGACGGAUCGGAAGUGAAUUCCCAUAGAGGUAAGGCCGUUGUUCUUCAUGACUAUUUCAAAGCUCUCCUAGGUACACAAUCUACCGUAGACAUCAAUUUUGACCUUCGGAAUCUCUUGAACGGAUCUCGGCUGAACCCUUCUCAAGCCCUCUCGCUCAUUAGGCCCUUCUCAUGGAAGAGAUUAAAUUUGCUAUUCUUAGCAUGAACGUUAACGCUAGCCUGGGCCAGAUGGGUUUGGCCUAGCCUUCUUCAAGGUUAAUUUGGAUCUUGUUAAGAAUGGUCUGUUAGACCUCAUGCAUGACUUUCACAACAGUUGCGCCGACCUCAAAAGGAUUAACAAAGCCUUUAUUGUUCUUCUUCCAAAAAAAAUUGGUGCGACAUCUCCUGAUAAUUUUCGUCCAUUUUCACUCCAAAAUUGUCUUAUUAAGAUUGCCUCUAAAUGUCUAGCCUUCAGAUCCCAACCCCUAAUCCCCUUAAUUUCAUCAUGACCAAUCUGGUUUUAUCAAAGGUCGAUGUACUGCUGAAAAUUUUACUUACGCCGCUGAUAUUGUUCAAACUUGUUUCAAGUGUAAGAAAUCAGCAAUUGUCCUCAAGUUAGACUUCCAAAAAGCAUUUGAUUCAGUGUCCUAGACGGCUCUGGCGGCUAUUUUAAAAGCCAAAGGCUUCCCUUCGAGAUGGUGUGAUUGGAUUCAAAAUCUAAAUCAGACCAGUCAGUCUGAUGUGCUUCUCAAUGGUAAGCCUGGACCAUGGAUUAGGAGACUCGACCUCCCCUUAUCUUUUCAUUAUUGUCGCUGACGUCCUACAGCGCCUCAUCCGGCAGGCAUCCUCGAAUGGCCUUCUAUCUCACCCCAUUGACUCGACCAUCCACUGCCCUGUUCUUCAAUACGCUGACGACACUCUUAUCAUUUUGCCUGCGGACCUUCGACAGCUUCAAACGCUAAAUCUAUUCUCCUUGAGUUCUCAAAUGCCAUUGGAUUGGUGAUUAAUUUCCAUAAGAGCACUUUCGCUCCUAUUCAUGUGGAUCGGGACCUUGCCUCUGACUUAGCUUCUUUCUUUGGGUGUUCGGUAGCUUCCUUCCCCCAAUCCUAUCUUGGUCUACCCCUUUCCACUCACAAGCUAAACAUUAAGGACUUCUUUUUCAUCAUCGACAAGAUUGACCGGCGCUUGGCGGGCUGGCGAGGCGUGCUUCUAACCAUCGCCGACCGCGCAAUCCUGGUCCGGGCUGUUCUUAGAGCCUUGCCUAUCAAUCUUGUCUGGAAACCCAUUGACCACUUUGCCCCGGCCAUCUGGAAGAAUUAUGCAUCCAAUAAAUGCAGAAUCUUCCUUUGGCUGGCAUGCAAAAAUCGCCUCUUCACCAACGAAAGACGCUUCAACAGGGGCCUAUUGGACUCCAACAGCUGCCUGUUUUGCACUGUUCCUGAACCAACGGGUCACCUUUUCCUCCACUGCAGCCAUCUUCGCCCCCUUUGGUUGGAGCUGACCUCUCUGUCUGCUUCCCCUCCAACAGACCUCCGGCAUCUCCGAGGACCGCACCUGGCCAACAAAGUCUGGCUCCACGGUCAUCAUUGCUGUCCUCCGGAAUAUUUGGAAAAGAAGAAACGCAAAGGUCUUCAGGGUGAUCUGCAACCUAUCCACCUCAUCGCCCGCUCGGCGGCGGAUGGCAUCAUGCUUUGGUCUAACAUGUGCUCCAGUGAGCAGGCAAUGACCAUCCUUUGGGAUUGGUGUAUCAUGUUGUUUCAUUUAUCUGAGAGAUUGUAACCCAAAUACAUUGUACACUCACCCCCCCCCCCUCCGCCUCCUUUCCUGUGUAAAUGUGCUUGAUUUAUUAAUGGUUUGGUUCAGGCCGGCGUAAGCCCGCUGUAGCACCGUCAAAAAAAUGAUUGAUGCUGCUGCGAUAGGCCUGAAGAGUGGAAGGUAACAUCGGGUGAUGAAAGCAAAGAAUUCAUGACCUCCGUGUGGCAGAGAGAGAAGCAAGAUAAGGCGGAAGAGGAGCUGUUCAUCCGAGCUCCCGUAACCAAACAUGAAAAAUACAUGGAGAAGCAGAUGAAGAAGCAGCUUCAUGGGUUACAAGUCCUAACUGAAGGAUUCGGCCUCGGGAUGAACAUGCUGCUCGAUGAAGAAAUGGAAGACGACAGUGGUUCUAGCGAGCCGCGUAGACAGAGCGUGGGGCGGAGAAAACACCAAAAAGGCGGCAAGAGGAAGCGACACUAGUUCGGACCUGACAAUAGUCCUGUGAAAUUUUGCCAUGUUCUCAGUCAAAAGCAUGAAUUUCGAUACCACUAGAAACUGAACCAGUUGUGCACCAUAGGAGUAGAGAUGAACUUUGCUUAGAAGCAGCAGCAGUUUUGUGCAUCCGCUUACACUGACGGCUACUUGUGUCCUUGAGACGAUUGCCACAUGUUUAUCCUCAGUUGUUUGUCUGUGUUUUCUGGUUCCGACGCCUUCGAAUCUGUGAUGUGUAUGAAAAGAUGUUCUGUUGAGUAUGAGAGUAUGACCAGAGAACUGCAAAAAAUGCACGCUGGUUGUUGAUCCCAA